GGGGUAGAGAUUAAAGAUGGGUAGAACAGUUAAAGGCUGUUCCAUCAAUGAAAGCAAGGAUGGUGAUGGCCUGACUAGGUCAGAGAAAUGGCCAUGGUAAAGAGGAAAAAGAUUGGAAAUGUAUUACAGAGGAGAAUAACCAACAGGAUUGGAUAUAGGGCAAGCUGAGGAAGAGAAGGUGCCAGAGUCAUGCGUCUGAAUAAGCUACUAAGUGACCUCAGAACAGGAUUGAGGGCAAGUGGAAGAGUGUGGGUCAGGAUACGUGGAGGCUGAGAUGAAAGCAGCUGAACAUGGAGUUCUGGAGUCUUGGAGAAGGAUCAGAUUAAAGAUACAAUUCUGGAAUCAUAGUUAUCUUCACACCUCUGGUUCAGGUGCUGAAAAGGAGAGAGAGAAAGAGAAAAAAGAAGAGAAUCCAAGACGAAACCUUGGGACGGCCUCCAUUUAGAAGCAUGAGUCCAGAAAUGAUUGAGAUGACAUCAUCACAGUGCACUGGGGCCAAGCUCUGGAAGAAGUCCCGAGUAGAAGGGCAUGGUCAACAAUAUCAGAUGCUAGAGAACGUCAUGAAGGAUGUGGCCCAUUGGGAGACUGCCAGGUGGAGAACACUGGGGUGGGGUUGGCCUUAGAAAGUGUGGCUGCAGCAGAGAGCUGCAAGAAGAAGACAAUUUUGCUGGGUUGAGUCAUGAGCUGAAGGCAGGGAAAUGAGGUAGAGUGCUGAUCCCUCCUUCAGGAAGUUUGUUGAAGAACAAAAGGAGAGAAGUCUUAAGUUUAUGUAACAUGUUCCAAAGAGUUCUUUAUCUAAGAGCAUACAUUUUUAAAACCUUUUAUUCAAAAACAAUUUCAAGCAUGCCGAAAAGUUGUGAGAUUAUAAAUCAUACGUAGAAAACCCAUCCACCAGGCAUGGUGGCUCACACAUGUAAUCCCAGCACUUUGGGAGACUGAGGUGGGUGGAUCACUUGAGGUCAGGAGUUCGAGAUCAGCCUGGCCAACAUGGUGAAACCCCGUCUCUAUCAAAAAUAUAAAAAAUUAGCCAGGUGUGGUGGUGCACGCCUGUAAUCCCAGCUACUCGGGAGGCUGAGGCAGAAGAAUCACUUGAACCUGGGAGGCAGAGAUUGCAGUGAGCCGAGAUCAUGCCACUGCACUCCAGCCUGGGCGACAGAGUGAGAAUCCAUCUCAAAAAAAAAAA
rnacentral:lncRNA from 1 species